GAUGAACGCUAGCGGCAGGCUUAACACAUGCAAGUCGAGGGGUAACAUGAGAGCUUGCUCUUGAUGACGACCGGCGCACGGGUGCGUAACGCGUAUAGAACCUACCUUUAACUGAGGGAUAGCCCAGAGAAAUUUGGAUUAAUACCUCAUAGUAUUAUUGAUUCGCAUGUUUUAAUAAUUAAAGAUUUAUUGGUUAAAGAUGGCUAUGCGUCUUAUUAGCUAGUUGGUAAGGUAACGGCUUACCAAGGCAACGAUAAGUAGGGGUCCUGAGAGGGAGAUCCCCCACACUGGUACUGAGACACGGACCAGACUCCUACGGGAGGCAGCAGUGAGGAAUAUUGGACAAUGGAGGCAACUCUGAUCCAGCCAUGCCGCGUGCAGGAAGACUGCCCUAUGGGUUGUAAACUGCUUUUAUAUAGGAAGAAACGCUUCUACGUGUAGAAGUUUGACGGUACUAUAAGAAUAAGGAUCGGCUAACUCCGUGCCAGCCGCCGCCGUAACAC
rnacentral:rRNA from 1 species